rnacentral:snoRNA from 1 species
UUGGCAUGAGUUCUUUGGCAAGAGCAACCGAUUUGCUGUGUUUGUAUUGUGGCUUCCUGUGGUGUUGAUCUAUCUCAUGGAUAUCCAA